UUGUUGACGAGCGGGCCCAAGCACAUUGUAGUGAACCAUUAUAACGAGAGGCCACCGCCCAGUGGAAUUCACAUUUCUUUGCAAGCUGUGUAGGAUUGUAGCUAUAACAUCAGUCCCAAGUUUGCUCAGUUUAUUCUGGCAAAGACUCACCGCUUGCAUUGAACUGCAAGAGGGUUUUCCUGAUGGAGAGCAGUAACUGUCCACAAGAUUGCCCGGGUUUCCAGUACUUCCCUCCUCCAUCGGCAGGGGACGUUCCGGUUUCUGUAUCUUUGGAAAGCGAGAUUUCUGUGUGCCGGGAGACUACGAGGUGGAUCACCGUCAGCGCGGUCAUCGUUGUUGCCGUCGUAGCCACCGGUGUUGUUAUAAAAAAUCGCCGUGGUCGGGAUAGAACCACCACUCCAUUGAAAAUGAUAUGGAUUUCAAAUAUAAGGCCGCCAACGACACCUCCUCCGCCGCCGCCGCCGCCGCCACCGCCACUGCCGCCACCGCGCUGUUGUGAUCCGUGUGAUCCAUGUGAUUCAUGUUGUCAUCAGAUACAUUGGCAGCCGUCGUGCUAUCCGUGUGAUCCGUGUUGUCAUCAAUUAAACAUAUUACCAUGCGGGGUAAUUGAAUGAUGCAUAAUGAUAGAUCGUCUACACUUAGCAUGGGCACUUCUAAGUCCUAUGAAUUGUAAUUUGAUUUUUCAAUCCAAUUAUGCAAUUAUCUUGGA